GAUCCUGGCUCAGGAUGAACGCUGGCGGCGUGCUUAACACAUGCAAGUCGAACGGAGGACCCUUGACGGAGUUUUCGGACAACAGAUAGGAAUCCUUAGUGGCGGACGGGUGAGUAACGCGUGAGUAACCUGCCUUGGAGUGGGGAAUAACACAGUGAAAAUUGUGCUAAUACCGCAUAAUGCAGUUAUCCCGCAUGGGGUUGACUGCCAAAGAUUUAUCGCUCUGAGAUGGACUCGCGU
rnacentral:rRNA from 1 species